rnacentral:lncRNA from 1 species
GUGAGAGUGUCUAAUCCGGUCAAGGGUAUGGUAGAUCCUCAAGUUACGACCGGUCUGACUUAAGAACUCAGGUUAAUUAGGCUAAUGGAAGAUUGGUCUGCCUGUUAUAUAUAGCGUGUACCCAGGUAAACACCCAGGUCUCAGCUGUACUGACUUACAACCAGCUUGAGUUACAACCAGCCCUCGGGGACCGAUGAAGUUCGUAAGUCAAGGGUCUUCUGUAUAUUACUGCUAGACCCACAUAGCAUCCUUGUCCUUGGCUUGCUCUCCAGAGUCAGGUAUGCGGAGACCAAAGCCAAGGGGCUGUGUUCCUGCGAGAAUUUACACUGAUUCGAAGAGAGAGCCUUCAUGAAGAUUUCCUGUCUGACCUCUUAAAUAAUCACAAAACUGAAGACUCGGCCCACCUGGUCCCCAGGUGUGAGAACCACAGAAUACUGUUCAUGCCACUGCUGUGGACCAGACAUGUGCUACUGCUCACCUGGAACAAUGACUUUAUUCUUCCUGGCACCCAAAGAGAGAUGUGAGUGGAGAAGGAGCCGCUGCUAUUGCUGAGGGCAAAGGAAAGAAAAAGAAAAUAAAGUUAUAUGCUUUGAGGAAUUUGGUUCCAAUGAAAAAGUCAGAAAGCAGUAAGUCCCACUGGGAACAUGUGAGGCCAGUGGUCCCUCUUGUUCCUGCCAGUUUGAAGGUCAACUGGCUACUGAGAAGGGAGGAAGCAAGGUGAAAACUUUUUCUUCUUUGAAAACCCAAAGUUUAAAUCUAAAAAUACAAACAGUUGCCAGAAUGGAAAGAUCGGAGUAUUCUUGAUUCCAUAUAUGUAUUUGUAAGAAUAAAAUAAGUUCUGGAGUUUGCUUUGGCAUUAAUUAUCUCACACAGGAAACCAUCAUAACAAAAUGGCAAAUUCUGGAAUUUCCAGUUUUCUCUCACCUGAAGAGGACAGAUGUUUUUAUUGUGGCCAGAGAGAGUCCUUACAUUAUUAGAAACAGGAGUGACUUGGAAAAAACAGUUUCCCUCCUUACUGUUUUAUGGAAUUGGCAAGAAGACUUUAUUAGUCUCAAGGCAAAAUUCAGACUAUGAAAUUUUCAAUUUUUUUUUAUUAAA